AGCUCAGUGGUAGAGCACAUGCUUAGCAUGCAUGAAGUCCUGGGUUCAAUCCACAG
rnacentral:tRNA from 1 species